GCGGGUGUAACUCAGUGGUAGAGUGCCACCUUGCCAAGGUGGAUGUCGAGGGUUCGAGCCCCUUCACCCGCU
rnacentral:tRNA from 1 species